rnacentral:rRNA from 1 species
CACAUGCAAGUCGAGGGGCAGCAUCAUCAAAGCUUGCUUUGAUGGAUGGCGACCGGCGCACGGGUGAGUAACACGUAUCCAACCUGCCGACAACACUGGGAUAGCCUUUCGAAAGAAAGAUUAAUACCGGAUGGUAUAGUUUUCCCGCAUGGGGUGACUAUUAAAGAAUUUCGGUUGUCGAUGGGGAUGCGUUCCAUUAGGCAGUUGGCGGGGUAACGGCCCACCAAACCAACGAUGGAUAGGGGUUCUGAGAGGAAGGUCCCCCACAUUGGAACUGAGACACGGUCCAAACUCCUACGGGAGGCAGCAGUGAGGAAUAUUGGUCAAUGGACGAGAGUCUGAACCAGCCAAGUAGCGUGAAGGAUGACUGCCCUAUGGGUUGUAAACUUCUUUUAUACGGGAAUAAAGUGAGCCACGUGUGGCUUUUUGUAUGUACCGUAUGAAUAAGGAUCGGCUAACUCCGUGCCAGCAGCCGCGGUAAUACGGAGGAUCCGAGCGUUAUCCGGAUUUAUUGGGUUUAAAGGGAGCGUAGGCGGGUUGUUAAGUCAGUUGUGAAAGUUUGCGGCUCAACCGUAAAAUUGCAGUUGAUACUGGCGACCUUGAGUGCAACAGAGGUAGGCGGAAUUCGUGGUGUAGCGGUGAAAUGCUUAGAUAUCACGAAGAACUCCGAUUGCGAAGGCAGCUUACUGGAUUGUAACUGACGCUGAUGCUCGAAAGUGUGGGGUAUCAAACAGGAUUAGAUACCCUGA